rnacentral:misc_RNA from 1 species
UUUUUUUUUUUUUUUUGCUUUUCUCAUUGUCAUUGAUGUGCUCCCUUGUCCCAAAAUGCUCUGUUUUUGUUCAUUCUAUGGUUUGCUUCGCUCCACAUAUCUCUUCCUCUCCAAGCUGUCUAUCUUUGCCACCCACCACUACGCUGCCGCUCUAGCACCCUCAAAUCUCUAUUAAAAUCCAUGCCAUUCAUGUUUGCUCAAUGCUCAAAGUGUAGUUGUGCCGACACUGGUGACAUUGAUGGCUAGCUUUUGGCCAGCAGAGCAGUGGUUGGGGAUGGCACAAACAUAGAAAUGCUCACUGAUGAUGAGAAUAAUGCUUGUUGGUGAAUUGGAACUAUGUUAGUCCUCCUAAACAAAACCUUUCUCUUCUUUUUGGGCAUCCAUUCUUGCUUGGAUAACUUGCAAUUGGAGCAAGUGCAAGAGUUAGGGCAAAGUACCCAGAACACUAAUUGAUCUUAGUGCUUAGUUUAAUUAAGCCUAAAAAUAUUUAUCCUAACAUAAUUAAAGGUAGGCCAGUAAUUUCUCACUCAAUUAAUGGCAAUUUGGCAAUAAAAUGGACUAAAGGGCCUUAAUUAUGACAGAGUCAAAAUACUGGGACUAAAAGAUUGAUAUUUGAAAACCGGGAGACAGAUUUGUUAAUUUUGACAUAACCCAUAAAUGAAAUAGUAAAUUACCCUAAAGAAAAAAACCAAUACUUGAUCACCAAGUCAAAACCUAAUAGAAAUCCCUAUAGGAUAGAAACUAACAUAUGAGAGAAACUAACAUAUGACAAUGUAUUGACAAUCAAAUAGUGAAGCCAUAAUAUGCCCUUUUACUAGGAAAAUCAAUUAGCCUGGCACUGGCAGGAUAACAAAUGAAUAAGCAUCAAGCUUGCUACAAUGCAACAAUUUGAUUUCCCUCACAGCUUCAGUUAGAAACUAUGUUUA